rnacentral:lncRNA from 1 species
CCCUUGUCCAGCAAUUCAGUUGCUUCUGCAUCAUUUGAUUCUUGUUUAUCCACACGGUUUCCACCUGACUGUGGUGAGAAUGAUCCCCUCACCUCUUCUUCAAAUACUUCGUAGCUUUCAUUUUGUUGCUGAUAGCUAAGCUCUUUAGCUCCAGAAUGCUUAAUUUCCACUUCUUCCAUUGAAAAUGACAUUUCCAGAUCAAACCGUAUGUUAUCUUACAAGCUGGUGCAAAGCCUAAAAACCUGCAGAUAAUAACAAAUUUAGCAAAGAUUCCAAUAUUUUAAACAUAUCUAGUGGCUUGAACAAGCCAGGCAAGCACUCCAUCAAAUUGAUGCUUUCUUCUACACUGCUGCAGACCAGUCGGAAUCAGCAACAAAAUAAUCCAAGAAAGGUUGAAAAGCUCCAAUCAGCAGUACUCCAAGCGAAGGAUUCAUCAAAAUAAGUAGAACUACAAAAAGAAACCCACAAAAACAAGAAUAAUGCAGCACUGAGGAACUCCAGAGCCUCCAGCAGUGAAU